rnacentral:rRNA from 1 species
UACAGAGGUCUCAAGCGUUGUUCGGAUUCAUUGGGCGUAAAGAGCUCGUAGGCGGCUUGUCACGUCGACUGUGAAAACCCGGGGCUCAACUCCGGGCCUGCAGUCGAUACGGGCUGGCUUGAGUGCGGUAGGGGAGACUGGAAUUCCUGGUGUAGCGGUGAAAUGCGCAGAUAUCAGGAGGAACACCGGUGGCGAAGGCGGGUCUCUGGGCCGUAACUGGACGCUGGAGGAGCGAAAGCGUGGGGAGCGAACAGG